CACGUAGGAUCCAAGCGUUAUCCGGAUUUACUGGGCGUAAAGCGCGUGCAGGUGGUUCGAUAAGUUGGAUGUUAAAACUCCCGGCUCAACUGGGAGCUGUCGUUCAAAACUAUCGAACUAGAGGACGGUAGAGGGAGGUGGAAUUCCGGGUGUAGUGGUGAAAUGCGUAGAUAUCCGGAGGAACACCAGUGGCGAAGGCGGCCUCCUGGCCCGCUCCUGACACUAAGACGCGAAAGCUAGGGUAGCAAACGGG
rnacentral:misc_RNA from 1 species